UUACAAUGAAGAAAAGAGAAGGCUCUAGAGCCCUGACUAGAAGCAACUGGCAUAGGGAAGCUGUAGGCAAUGCUAGCUCCUCCAGCCUGUCUUCCUAGCUGGGCAGUUAUGGGGCUCAUGGAAUUUCAGUAAGAGACACAAAGGAAUGAGGGGCUUCUACUGAAGCUUCAAGAAUGAUUCUCCAAAAGCAAUAACCAAGCUUGGCUACUCAUUAGAGAAUGGAGGUGUGAGUGAGAAAAGGGAAGAAUCACAAGUUCAC